rnacentral:rRNA from 1 species
GUGCAACGCCGCGUGAGUGAAGAAGGUUUUCGGAUCGUAAAGCUCUGUUAUCCGAGAAGAACAAGGAUCGGUCAAACAGGCCGGUUCCAUGACGGUACCGGAUCAGAAAGCCCCGGCUAACUACGUGCCAGCAGCCGCGGUAAUACGUAGGGGGCAAGCGUUGUCCGGAAUUAUUGGGCGUAAAGGGCGCGCAGGCGGUUUCCUAAGUCUGAUGUGAAAGGCCACGGCUCAACCGUGGAAUGGCAUUGGAAACUGGGGAACUUGAGUACAGGAGAGGAGAGUGGAAUUCCACGUGUAGCGGUGAAAUGCGUAGAGAUGUGGAGGAACACCAGUGGCGAAGGCGGCUCUCUGGCCUGUAACUGACGCUGAGGCGCGAAAGCGUGGGGAGCGAACAGGAUUAGAUACCCUGGUAGUCCACGCCGUAAACGUUGAGUGCUAGGUGUUAGGGGUUUCGACGCCCUUAGUGCCGAAGCAAACGCAUUAAGCACUCCGCCUGGGGAGUACGACCGCAAGGUUGAAACUCAAAGGAAUUGACGGGGGCCCGCACAAGCGGUGGAGCAUGUGGUUUAAUUCGACGCAACGCGAAGAACCUUACCAGGUCUUGACAUCUUCUGACUGCUCCAGAGAUGGAGUUUUCCCCUUCGGGGGACAGAAUGACAGGUGGUGCAUGGUUGUCGUCAGCUCGUNCCCAGCAUGUUGGGUUAAGUCCCGCAACGAGCGCAACCCUUAACCUUAGUUGCCAGCAUUGAGUUGGGCACUCUAGGGUGACUGCCGGUGACAAACCGGAGGAAGGCGGGGAUGACGUCAAAUCAUCAUGCCCCUUAUGACCUGGGCUACACACGUGCUACAAUGGAUGGUACAGAGGGCCGCGAAGCCGUGAGGCGGAGCGAAUCUCAAAAAGCCAUUCUCAGUUCGGACUGCAGGCUGCAACUCGCCUGCAUGAAGCCGGAAUCGCUAGUAAUCGCGAAUCAGCAUGCCNCGGUGAAUACGUUCCCGGGCCUUGUACACACCGCCCGUCACACCACGAGAGCUUGCAACACCCGAAGUCGGUGAGGUAACCCUUUUGGGAGCCAGCCGCCGAAGGUGGGGCAGGUGAUUGGGGUGAAGUCGUAACAAGGUAUCCCUACCGGAAGGUGGGGCUGGA